UACGUAGGGGGCAAGCGUUAUCCGGAUUUACUGGGUGUAAAGGGAGCGUAGACGGCGUAUCAAGUCUGAUGUGAAAGGCAUGGGCUCAACCCGUGGACUGCAUUGGAAACUGGUAUGCUUGAGUGCCGGAGGGGUAAGCGGAAUUCCUAGUGUAGCGGUGAAAUGCGUAGAUAUUAGGAGGAACACCAGUGGCGAAGGCGGCUUACUGGACGGUAACUGACGUUGAGGCUCGAAAGCGUGGGGAGCAA
rnacentral:rRNA from 1 species